CAAAGAUAAAAAAAAAAAAAUCUACAACAUAAACAAACAAAUAUUAUUGUUCAAACCCAUAAUGUUCACAGCUUAAGGUCCACAUCUCUUCUCGAUUAAAAAAUUUGCUCUUCAUAAAACAAACACUGUCUGAACUCUUCUCAAAAAAUUCUAAGCAAACUCCAUAAUAAUUCAAAACUAUAAAACUCAAUCAAAAUCUUCUCUUUCUCCUUGUUUAAUUCACGAGAAAUCACUUUGAAAUCCAACUUUUUUACACAAAAUUGAUAACCCCUCACUUUAAAAUUAUUUGAUAUCACUCCUUAGUAGAAACAUCAACUUUACAACAUUCCCAUCCAUCUUCAAAAACCCACCUGUGUAAAUAAAAGUUAAAUUUGUCGUAAGUGAGGGAAAUCUGGUGCUGACUUAGCUACCGGCCAGAGAUGGUCAAGCGUGCAGAUGUGAAACCAUGGAUGGUAGAGCAGCCUAAAUGGACGCAAAAAUUCUGGUGGAGUGCAACCGUAUAUCCAAAAUAGUCAAAUGAUAGAAUAGUAGAUGGAAGUGCCGCGGGAGGAACAGUGGUACCUUCGAUUGCAGCCGAAGAUGGUGAGCCAUGGGAGAGGUCUUGGCAGUGUGUGAGUUCCUUUGGGUGAAAUGUAUUGUGUGGG
rnacentral:lncRNA from 1 species